rnacentral:rRNA from 1 species
AACGAACGCUGGCGGCAUGCCUAACACAUGCAAGUCGAACGAGACCUUCGGGUCUAGUGGCGCACGGGUGCGUAACGCGUGGGAACCUGCCCUUAGGCUCGGAAUAACUCCCCGAAAGGGGUGCUAAUACCGGAUAAUGUCUUCGGACCAAAGAUUUAUCGCCUUUGGAUGGGCCCGCGUUGGUUUAGCUAGUUGGUAGGGUAAAAGCCUACCAAGGCGACGAUCCAUAGCUGGUCUGAGAGGAUGAUCAGCCACACUGGGACUGAGACACGGCCCAGACUCCUACGGGAGGCAGCAGUGGGGAAUAUUGGACAAUGGGCGAAAGCCUGAUGCAGCAAUGCCGCGUGAGUGAUGAAGGCCUUAGGGUUGUAAAGCUCUUUUACCCGGGAUGAUAAUGACAGUACCGGGAGAAUAAGCUCCGGCUAACUCCGUG